CCCUUCGAUGUUCCCGGCCGCACAUGUGCUACACUGGUGGAGGCAACGAGUAUGAGUGACUGUGGACGUUCGCGUCCCCAGACCCUGCACUUUAACAAGUGUGGGUAAUCUGGUGAAACUCUACCGUGCUUGGGAUAGAACUUUGUAAUUCUGGUUCUUGAACGAGGAAUCCCUAGUAGGCAUUACGUCAUUAGCGUGUGCCGAUUACGUCCCUGCUCUUUGUACACACCGCCCGUCGCUACUACCGAUUGAAUGCCUAGGUGAUGGUUACGGAGCCCGAUUGUCGGUGCAAAGUUUUCACAACCUAGGUCAUUUAGAGGAAGUAAAAGUCGUAACA
rnacentral:rRNA from 1 species